AUUGAACGCUGGCGGCGUGCCUAACACAUGCAAGUCGAGCGGCAGCGCGGGAGCAAUCCUGGCGGCGAGCGGCGGACGGGUGAGUAAUGCUUGGGAAUCUGCCUGUUAGUGGGGGACAACCCGGGGAAACUCGGGCUAAUACCGCAUACGCACUACGGUGGAAAGCCGGGGACCGCAAGGCCUGGCGCUAACAGAUGAGCCCAAGUCGGAUUAGCUAGUUGGUAGGUAACGGCCACCAAGGCGACGAUCCGUAACUGGUCUGAGAGGACGACCAGUCACACCGGAACUGAGACACGGUCCGGACUCCUACGGGAGGCAGCAGUGGGAAUAUUGGACAAUGGGGAAACCCUGAUCCAGCGACGCCGCGUGGGUGAAG
rnacentral:rRNA from 1 species